rnacentral:rRNA from 1 species
AUACGUAGGGAGCGAGCGUUGUCCGGAAUUACUGGGCGUAAAGGGCGCGUAGGCGGCGCUUCAAGUCGUCUGUCAAAUGGGAGGGCUUAACCCUUUUUCGCAGACGAAACUGGAGAGCUUGAGAAGCAGAGAGGCAAACAGAAUUCCUGGUGUAGCGGUGAAAUGCGUAGAUAUCAGGAAGAAUACCAGUGGCGAAGGCGGUUUGCUGGCUGCAUACUGACGCUGAAGCGCGAAAGCCAGGGGAGCAAACGGGAUUAGAUACCCCGGUAGUCCUGGCAGUAAACGAUGUAUGCUGGGUGUGAGACUAGCGAUAGUUUCGUGCCGAAGUUAACGCGAUAAGCAUACCGCCUGGGGAGUACGGUCGCAAGAUUGAAACUCAAAGGAAUUGACGGGG